UAAGACGAAGGAUGCAAGCGUUAUCCGGAUUCAUUGGGUUUAAAGGGAGCGUAGGUGGCCUUAUAAGUCAGUGGUGAAAUCUCUGGGCUUAACCCAGAAAUUGCCAUUGAUACUGUAGGGCUUGAGUAUAGAUGCCGUUGGCGGAAUAUGACAUGUAGUGGUGAAAUACAUAGAGAUGUCAUAGAACACCGAUUGCGAAGGCAGCUAACGAAACUAUAACUGACACUGAGGCUCGAAAGUGUGGGGAUCAAACAGGAUUAGAUACCCUGGUAGUCCACACUGUAAACGAUGAUUACUCGCUGCUAGAGGGUAACUUUUAGUGGCUUAGCGAAAGCGAUAAGUAAUCCACCUGGGGAGUACGCCGGCAACGGUG
rnacentral:rRNA from 1 species